rnacentral:rRNA from 1 species
UACGGAGGGUGCAAGCGUUGUCCGGAUUUAUUGGGUUUAAAGGGUGCGUAGGCGGCUAAUUAAGUCAGUGGUGAAAUACAGCAGCUCAACUGUUGAGGUGCCAUUGAUACUGAAUAGCUUGAGUACAGAUGAGGUAGGCGGAAUUUAUGGUGUAGCGGUGAAAUGCAUAGAUACCAUAAAGAACACCGAUUGCGAAGGCAGCUUACUAAGCUGUAACUGACGCUGAGGCACGAAAGCGUGGGGAGCGAACAGG